rnacentral:antisense_RNA from 1 species
GGUGAAUGGAUUGUGUAUGGGCGUGUGAGUAAAACUUUACAAGGUCAAGGGUCAUACAAAAGUCAAGGCUGCAUUAAAGCCAGUCCCACCCAGGCUUAAGGAGAGCUGGAAUGGAGAGGAUUCUCAUCUAACAUCUGGGUUGCAGUUGUAUGUUAACGUGGACUUCCUAGGAAGUAACAUAUCAAACAAAAAGGAAAGUGAUCAACCAGCAGCAGGUACCAGCCACAGUUAACUGCACCUGCUAGGAGCUCUGAAAAGACUUUUUUUUUUUUUAAUGAAUAAAGAAAUUCUCAUUUCACUCUCCUCCACACUGGACUCACUGAAGAAAGAGCUACUCUCUGAUGAAGUUGGUGGCGCUGUGGAAGAGGACCGCCGCCUCCUGGACGAGGACCGGGACCGCUCAGCAUUGUCUGACUGACAGGAAAGGACCCAGAUAAGAUCCU